UUUAAUAUAUUUAUCUAAUUUUACCAAGGUCAGGAAGCUCCGCUCAGAAUCAGUUUUUGAUUACAAUGGUUUAUCGAACUGUUAACUGCAUUCUGCAUUUAGUAUCAUAUACAAAUCUCCCUCUAGAUUCCUUACUUAUCAAAUUCCGUCCUGAAACGGUGAUGACCAAGUACCCGUGGUUCGAAUGAUAACAGUAUUCUGCAUAAACUCGGCAAAUUUAAUUCGAAAAAUACGAACGUAGAUAUUGUGGAUUUU